rnacentral:rRNA from 1 species
UGGGAACUGCUGCCCUUCUCUACGGAAUACCUCUGGGAAACGGAGAGUAAUACCGUAUACGCCCUUUGGGGGAUAGAUUAUCGGAGAAGGAUCGGCCCGCGUUAGAUUACGUAGUUGGUGGGGUAACGGCCUACCAAUGCCAUUAACGAACUGAAAGUCGUACUAGCCAUGGCUUUUAGAAGGAUGAUCAGCAACACUGGGACUGAGACACGGCCCAGACUCCUACGGGAGGCAGCAGUGGGGAAUCUUAGACAAUGGGGGCAACCCUGAUCUAGCCAUGCCGCGUGAGUGAUGAAGGCCUUAGGGUCGUAAAGCUCUUACGCCUGUGAUGAUAAUG